UCCCGCUUGCACGGGCAGUUCCGGAAGAGUGCCCGACUUGACGCUGGCAACAUCCGGUGAGGGUUGCGCUCGUUGCGGGACUUAACCCAACAUCUCACGACACGAGCUGACGACAGCCAUGCAACACCUGUCUUUGUGUCCCCGAAGGGAGGGACUGCUUUCACAGCCUUUCACGCGAUGUCAAGCCUGGGUAAGGUUCUUCGGUUAGUGACGAAUUAAACCACAUGCUCCACCGCUUGUGCGGGCCCCCGUCAAUUCCUUUGAGUUUCGACCUUGCGGCCGUACUCCCCAGGCGGAGUGCUUAAUGCGUUAGCUCCGGCACCAGGGGGGUCGAUACCCCCGACACCUAGUCCUCAACGUUUAGGGCGUGGACUAC
rnacentral:misc_RNA from 1 species